rnacentral:rRNA from 1 species
GUCUACGGCCACGCCACCCUGAACAAGCCCGAUCCCGUCUGAUCUUGAAAGCUAAGCAGGGUCGGCCUGGUUAGUACUUGGAUGGGAGACCACCUAGGAAGACCAGGUGCUGUAGGCA